rnacentral:rRNA from 1 species
CGUGUAGGCGGCUUAUUAAGUCAGAUGUGAAAGCCCACGGCUUAACCGUGGAACUGCAUUUGAAACUGAUAGACUUGAGUAUGAGAAGGGGUAGUGGAAUUCCCAGUGUAGCGGUGAAAUGCGUAGAUAUUGGGAAGAACACCAGUAGCGAAGGCGGCUACCUGGCUCAUAACUGACGCUAAUGCGCGAAAGCGCGGGGAGCAAACA